rnacentral:rRNA from 1 species
CCUACGGGAGGCAGCAGUGAGGAAUAUUGGUCAAUGGUCGGGAGACUGAACCAGCCAAGCCGCGUGAGGGAUGAAGGUACAGAGUAUCGUAAACCUAUUUUGUCAGGGAACAAAGGCGGGGACGCGUCCCCGGAUGAGUGUACCUGAAGAAAAAGCAUCGGCUAACUCCGUGCCAGCAGCCGCGGUAAUACGGAGGAUGUGAGCGUUAUCCGGAUUUAGUGGGUUUAAAGGGUGCGCAGGCGGGUUGUUAAGUCAGCGGUCAAAGCCCGGGGCUCAACCCCGGCCCGCCGUUGAAACUGGCAGUCUCGAGUUGGAGAGAAGUAUGCGGAAUGCGCGGUGUAGCGGUGAAAUGCAUAGAUAUCGCGCAGAACCCCGAUUGCGAAGGCAGCAUGCCGGCUCCACACUGACGCUGAGGCACGAAAGCGUGGGUAUCGAACAGGAUUAGAUACCCUUGUAGUC